CCCAAUACUCUCCCUCUUCCCCCAACUCUCCUCAAUACACUCCCUCUUCUCCCCAAUACUCUCCUUCUUCCCCACAGUACUCUGACAUGGAGUCAACAGGCUCCAAUUCUCCAUCUCCCUCUCUCUCGUAUUCUCCCCUCUCUCCGUCUCCCUACUCUCCCCAAAUGAGACUUUCUUCCGAUAGUUGUUGAAUUUUUAUUUUUCUAUUAAAUUAAUAUUCUUUUGUAAUUUUUUUUAUAGUUAGAAAAAUUUAAUGUUAGUUAUUUCAUAACAAUUUUUUCCUUGUAAUCAGUGCCAUUAUGAAUUUUAAUAAGAAUUAUUUCUUUUUUUUCUCUCUGUUGUUCACUUGCAGGGGUAUCAGCCUCUCGUGGAGGCAGACAUUAGGACGCCCAACGCGCUCGCAGAUCUCAUUGCAAAUGACGGAGCCGACCUCACAAACUGUCUUGGACUCCUUCUAAGCUAGCUGAUGAGCCUUUCUCUCCUUUUUGUUCACUACUCACAUACAUGUUGUAAAUAGGGUUGCGGAGCCAACUCAUUGUUGUCACAGUAUUGGACUCUUUUUUGGCUUUUUUGUAAAGGGAUUAUCUUACCUGUUAGGGUUAUCGUAGAUCCCAAAUUUUGUAAGGGACGCUAGACCCAACACUUGUAUUUACUUCUUUUUUUAUUCAUUGAAACAGUUAACUUUCUCAAAAAAAAAAUGAAAAAUUAAUGUGGUUUGUCUCUACAUUUUGCAAUCUACUGAAAUACAUGUUCUGAAAUUGAGUAUAAUUGGAAUUGUAGACAAGGAAAAUUGUCUAGAGCUUUGUUGUUUGUUUCUUACAUGAAUGUAUUCAGCAAAAAUGGACCAAGGUUUGCAAGCAAAUGAUACUUUAUCGUUGUUCGAUAAUUGUAUGACCUGUUUUCUGUUUUGGGCAUUCUGUUUGUGCCUUUAGCAGUGUGAUGUGGUUCAUAUAAUUUGCAUCCAGUGGAGCCCAUGCCAUAUAUUUGUGGUGACAAAAUUGAAAUUAAGCUUUUGUUGCUUACUUCAUCCUAUUUUGAAAUCUACAGGCUAGCAAAAUUUGUGGAACAAUCUUUGUUUUAGACUGAUGCUUUAUUUAUUUGUUUCAAGCUAUGCAAGAGCUCCAUUGAAAAAAUCAGUAGGGUGGUGCAAGAGUUAGAGUUUGAGAGAGAGAGAGAGAGAGCUCCAUUGAAGAAAAUCGGUUGGGUGGUGCAAGAGCUAGUGUUCAUAGGUCGAGUCGUGGUAAUGGCGCUCUCUCAAGCUGUCCCAGCCCUUGCUUUCUUCCAUGGCAAUUCAACUCAGACAGUAGAGUGGCGCCCUCCCCUCUCUUGGUUGUAGGUCACCUAUGGGAUGUAAAGAGUGUUGACUGGCACCCUACCAUCUUUGCUCGUUUCAGGUUUGGAUACAUGGUCACAGGAAUUGGGUGUUUUUUGUCAAAUGGAAUCAAAAUUGUAAUUGGGUGCUCACUUCUUCAAAAUAUCAGAUCAUUAAAGUCAGCAUCUUCUAUGCAGGCUUCCUUUUAUGAUACUAUGAAGGAGCUUGAAUCUUAUUGUGGACAUCGCAAGGAUGUAACUAGUUGUUGCUAGCCAAUGGAUAGGCAUGAAAAACCUCAUGAUGAAGUGAAUAAUGCACAUGAAAGCAGUGUGUGGGACCUUGCCUGGCAUCCUAUUGGUUAUAUCCAUUACAGGUGAUCACUGAUCUUGUUCUGAGUAGUUAAGCAAAAUGUGCUUCACCAUCUUUAACUUUUUCGCAUUAGGACUUCUUAUGUUUUACACAAUUAUAAUCAAUGAUGUAUUUUUUAUGGAAAACAAUUUAGCUUCCUUUGAUACUUCACCAUAUUGCCAUACUCUCAUUCUCACCAAGCCAAACUAACAUGGAUAUGGCAUAUUUGCUGUUAAAUCUUCUUCUUUAUACCUAAACCGAAUGGGGCUCUUUUAUUCUCAGUAGAACAUUUGAAAUUUUGAAUAAUUUAUUGGUCUGAUUGGAAUCUUGCACUUCCUGUUUAAAACAUGGAAUGACUAUAUAGUUCAAAAGAAAUGUCUAAUAGCUGAGAACAGGCUCUAAAGCAGAGUGGUCACAAUCUGCUUCUUUAUACUUAAAUAAAAAUGGAUUUAAGUAGAACAGGCUGAGAAUAGGCUCUAAAGCAGAGUGAUCAAAAUAGCUGAAAACAAGUUCUAAAGCAGAGUGGUCACAAUCUGCUUCUUUAUACUUAAAUCAAAAUAGAUUUGCUUUCUGCUCAGGAGAACAUUUGAAAAUUUUGAAUAAUUUAUUGGUCUGAUGGAAUCUUGCACUUCCUGUUUAAAAUGUAGAAUGACUAUAUAAUUAAAAAGAACAUGCUCUAAGCAGAAGUGGUCAGGGUGGUGAGUGCCACAACAUGGCAUCUAGAGUUCGAUUCUCACCAGGUUUCAAGUUAAUAUUAAAAAAUAAUGAAUGUUUAAUGACUGUAUUUAUGGGAAUCUCUGAAUUCUUUGUGAGUUUGCUGACCUUGUCAGUUAAUUGUAGUGAGCCAAUGCUGAACCAUAUUCGAUAAUCACUGAGUAUUGUGCAUUUUUCUUUCUAACAUAUUUUGUGGUUAAUUGUCAACUUCCUGUGGCAUGAAGCUUUAACUGUCCUUGCUUGAAGCUCUGUUCCAUAAUGGUAACUUAAUUCGCAGUCAUUUGAUAUAUUGCACUGGCAACAAUGACCACGCAACCAGGUUUUUGUGUAGAAAUUGAUCGGGAGAUACUUCUCGUGAGAAACAUGUUGCUCGUGAAAAACAUAUUGCUGGCUACAAUCAAGGUACCGGUGAUGCUGAUGUUCUUACAGCCGCCUAUCAAGCAAUUUCUCAUUACCAGAAGCCCCACCCGUAAGCAAUUGCACGUGAGCUUAUGUAUGUUGAAGUGUCUAAUAAUGGAAGACCUACCAAGGCUAUGAUAGACACCUUUCAAAAUUGGAGAGCAUGACAUACCUUUCAAAAAUACAAAAUAGAGGGCAUGAGAUGGGUAGGAAAGCAUGAGGAAUGAGGGAUGAAUUUAAGAUAUGUAGAACACCUUUUCUAAUGGCAACUAUGGCUUACUCUGCAACAUGUAUAUGCCCAAUGUAUAUGCCCAAGUUACGUUACUUCUUCCUUAAAAGCAUAAUAAUUGGUUUUUGAUGUGUAUUUUUACUUGAAAAAUACAAAUCCUAUUUUUUGCA